CUCCCAUCAGGCCUGUCAGCCAGUGAUGCAUGGCGUGGGAGCAGAGGGAGCGUGACUGCACCAUAAAGCUCGCUGUUUGUGUUUAAUCUCAUCGCACGUCCAUUAGGAAGCUAAAACCACUGGGAGAUUACACACGUCGACGGGGCCACUGUUUACGAGGCAGAGAGAGGACAGGAAAGAGGAGAUCAGGCUAUCAGCAUGCACCGCAGACACAGAUCACUUCCUCUCUUCAUCUCCGCCGGUCCACUGGGAGGUGUCAUGGAUUCUGGCCUGCGUGGGUACCCAGAGAUGAGACACUGUGGGUGGGCAUGAUGGAUGGCAGGAGUCCCUACCCACCCAUGGUUCUCUAUCGUCUCCCAUAUC
rnacentral:lncRNA from 1 species